rnacentral:snRNA from 1 species
AGCGUGCUUGAGCUGAUAAAGUC